rnacentral:lncRNA from 10 species
UUUGUGUUUUUCCACAAUGCCAGACUUUUACUGAUGCUAUUUCAAUCACAAAAGCCACGAACUACAUGGAGUUUCCAAGAAAGCAAUUCUCCUUAGUACUUCCCACUCACUCAGCACUCAGAGUCUUGGACACACAGGCUCAAGGCACUCCACAGGUCAAUCAAUAUUGCAAAUCAUGCAUAAUGGUAUACUUAAUCAACAUAUAUAUUAUAGAGUGAACAUUCCACAAACAAAAUAACAUUUAACAUUAAGAGAAAAGAGAUAGGACCCUUUUCUCCUUUAAGUCUGGAGCCCUCAGAAUCAUCUCCUUUCCUUCCUUUUUCCCUCUUUCCUCCCCCAAUUUAUUUUUUAAUCUUUGUGGGACAUGACUUCUAGGAAUGAGCCUUCCUAGCAACAUGGAACAUGACUUCCUAGGAAUGAGCCUUCCUAGUAACGUGAGACCUGAAUUUCCUGGAAUAAACCAUCCUAGCGACAAGAAACCAGCUCAAAAAAGGAGGAAAAAGCGAACUGAGGCCAGGAACACAUAUUCCUUUUAAAAUGCUUUCUCCAAAAGAUGUUAAAGAAAAAAAGGGGGAAAUGUGAAAGGAAAUUAAAUCUUGGGACCCCAGACUCAUUAAGCCAAAGGGAAAAGUCAAGCUGGGAAGUGGGUCACACAAACCUGCCUCCCGCUUUUGGUUCCUAAAUAAGAUGGCUACAAGAUGGAAAGCUACAUGCCUCCCCCAUAUUUUGCCCACAAGGAAAUUCCUAGUGAGGAAUUUUACUUUCCUAGAAAGGAAAAAAGAAAAGAGAUGAAAAAAUAUAUAUAGGGACUAGGCCAGAUUUAUAGCAACAAAAGGAAAGCAAACCUGGAAGCUGGGUCAAGCUUUAUUAUAUUACUGCCUCCUCAAUUAAAGCAAUUCUCUGGGCAAUCAUUACCUUAGCCCUUUCGGUUGCAUAUUGACUUAUUUGCAAACACGUACUAUAACAACAUUGUAAGCAGAAACAGGACAGAACAUAAAUUAUUCCUUCUAUUAUAAGCAAUAGCUUCUGCCACUAAAUUCCCCAGGAUCCAAACCAACCACUCAAGCAAUGGAUUAGUGAGGGUUUUGGAUCUGACAGUUGCUUAUCUGGGUUUUCAUACUGGUCAUAAUUCAGUUUAUGUUCUUUGAUUCAUCUGGAAUAUACACACAACAUUCAGUUUUUACGGUGGCACAGGUUCCCCUUGUGCUGCCAUGAGUAUAUCUAAAGCCACAUAGUUUUGCAACACAGCUUUCCUCAUAAGCAUGACCUCAUUGCUUAGCAAAGAGGUACUCAUGCAGCUACCAUUUAGGGCCUUUGGGUGUAAUUCGUUAUGGCCUCUAUAUGCCAUAUAACAUCUUCGAUACCUAUCUGUGGUACAAAGAUUGAAGCUAAGUGAUCAUAGCACUGGAAUACCAAACAUGUCCAAUGAGAUUGUAAAUGAAAAAGGUUUGCUGGUUUAAUGGAAGGGUCUGAAUUACUGGGCAACAUAUGGGGGAGGCAUGUAGCUUUUCAUCUUAUAGCCAUCUUAUUUAGGAACCAAAAGCAGGAGGCAGGUUUGUGUGACCCAGUUCCCAGCUCGACUUUUCCCUUUGGCUUAAUGAGUUUGGGGUCCCAAGAUUUAAUUUCCUUUCACAAUAUAUAUAAUCCAUAUUUUCCUUUUCUUUUUUUUCGAGAUGGGGGUCUCACUUUGUCACCCAGGCAUGAUCAUAGCUCACUGUUACCUGGAAUUCUUGGGUUCAAGGGAUCCUCCAGCCUUAGCCUCCCAAGUAGCUGUGACUAUAGAAGCAGGCCACGGUGCCCAGCUAAUUUUUAACUUUUUUGUAGAGACAGGGUCUCACCAUGUUGCCCAAGCUGGUCUCGGAACUCCUGGGCUCAAGUGAUUCUCCAGCCUUGGCCUCCCAAAGUGCUGGGAUUACAAGUGUGAGCCAUGGCACCUGGCUCCAUGUUUUCCACCAGAUUUUUUAACAUUGUAGGGGCCAACAGAAAAGUUCCCCUUUGCCCUCUUAAGAUUCACUGAAAAUUAACUAGCAAAAGGCAGAUUAAUAGGAGAAAAGACAUACAAAUUUAUUUGAUCAUAGUUUUACCUGACAUAGGAGCCUUCAGAAUGAAGACACAGAUGGGAAAUUGUCCAUUUAUAUGCCUAGGUUCAACAAAGUAUGGACAGCUAUGUAGAAAUAGGAUUGGACAAAAAGCGUACUGAUUUAGCGCUAAUAGACUGAGUGGGGAAACCCAGCGAGGCCUGUCUGUCUAGAUUCUUGGCCUCUCUCGGCAGCAUUCCUUCCUUCUGGGUAUGUACAGGACCGUCUUUGGAAUGGGGGUCUUAUGACCUACAAUCUAAAACAAAGUAGCUCAGAUAAUUUAUUCAGAGCCAGUUUUUACACAAAAGCAAGGCGGAAGUUAGAGUAGUUUUUUUUUUUUUUUUUUUUUUUGAGACAGAGUCUUGCUCUGUCGCCCAGGCUGGAGUGCAAUGGUGCGAUCUCGGCUCACUGCAACCUCCACCUCCCAAGUUCAAGUAAUUCUCCUGCCUCAGCCUCCUGAGUAGCGGGGAUUACAGGCACGCACCACCAUGCCUGGCUAAUUUUUGUAUUUUCAGUAGAGACAGGGUUUCAUCAUGUUGGUCAGGCUGGUCUCGAACUCCUGACUUUGUGAUCCACCUGCCUCUGCCUCCCAAAGUGCUGGGAUUACAGGUGUGAGCCACCGCGCCCGGCCUAGAGUAGUAUUUUACAUUUUAUGGCUGGCUUUGGGGAAAAGGGGUUCUCUCUAUGACCCACCUUGAGGAAAAGGGAUUCAGUGUCUGUGGCUAGGCUUGGGGAAGAAUGAAGGGCCAGAGACAGGAAGGCAGAAGGUCAGAGAGAAACUUUUGCUUCUGAGGCUGCUUCAGAGCCUUAAUUUGGGGUAUCAUUUUCUGAGCCCCAACAACAUGUUAAAGUCUCUGUCCAUUAGUUCAAACAUCUGGGUUUGAGUAGCUGGGACGACAGGCCUGCACCACUACACCUGGCUAAUUUUUGUACUUUAAGUAGAGGUGGGGUUUCACCAUGUUGGCCAGGCUGGUCUUGAACUCUUGGCUUCAAGUGAUCUGCCUGCUUUGGCCUCCCAACGUGCUGGGAUUACAGGCGUGAGCCACCGUGCCCGGCCAAGUCAUUGCUUAUAUAACAGAAGAGAAUGAGGUAAAUCAUAUUAAUGCUCGGAAAUGGGCAAGUGUGUUCUGUUAGACCGUCUGCAUGGGGUUUGGUCAAUCUGGUUAGGAAUCAAGCGGGGCUUGGGUUUUUUUUUUGUUUUUUGUUUUUGUUUUUGAGAUGGAGUUUUGCUUUUGUUGCCUACACUGGAGUGCAAUAGUGCGAUCUUGGCUCACCACAACCUCCAGCUCCUGGGUUCAAGCGAUUCUCCAGCUUCAGCCUCCUGAGUAGCUGGGAUUACAGGCAUGCAACACCACACCCGACUAAUUUUAUAUUUUUAGUAGACAUGGGGUUUCUCCAUGUUGGUCAGGCUGGUCUCAAACUCCUGACCUCAGGUGAUCCACCUGCCUCAGCCUCCCAAAGUGCUGAGAUUACAGGCUUGAGCCACCGCACCUGACCUGGGCUUGGGUUUUAUUGCUAUGGUUGCUUUCAAUGUACCACAGAUUUCACCUACUCUAGCAUUAUUCUAUACUGUAGGUUGGGGCUGAAGAACUCAAGUGUUCAUGCUUCAUCCUCAGCUUACAGCUGUCCUGCCUACCUGCACAGUGGUGACUAACUUUCUAGGCCUUUGCCCAUCCCCUAGAAAUGGAUGCUUGUUACUAGCUGCUUGGUAGGCUGGUAGCGGGGUAGAAGUAAAGGGGUUCUCUGUUGUUCUAAUUCAAUUCAGCCUCAGUCCUCAGCAGGCCCUGUGUGGGCCUUAGGAAUAGAUCUUUUCUCGGCAUUCUUGCCCCCCAAAACUGGGCAAGUUCAUUAAAUGAGUGUAAAGAGGAAAGAAGUGUGAGAAUGGAGGAACUGGAAGGUUGAAUUAGGGUUUUUUUUUUUUUUUUUCCCUUGAGACGGAGUCUCGCUCUGCUGCCCAGGCUGGAGUGCCGUGGCGUGAUCUUGGCUCACUGCAAGCUCCGCCUCCCAGGUUCACGCCAUUCUCCUGCCUCAGCCUCGAGAGUAGCUGGGACUACAGGCACCUGCCACCAGGCCCGGCUAAUUUUUUUUAUUAUUUUUAGUAGAGACGGGAUUUCACCUUGUUAGCCAGGAUGGUCUCGAUCUCCUGACCUCGUGAUCUGCCCGCCUCAGCCUCCCAAAGUGCUGGGAUUACAGGUGUGAGCCACCGCACCUGGCCAUUUUUGUUUUUUAAAAAACUUUUACUUAAACAGAGACAAGGUCUUGUUAGGUUUUCCAGUCUUGUCUCAAACUCCUGGCCUCAAAUCAUCCUCUCACCUCGGCCUCCUAAAGCGCUGGGAUUACAGGUGUGAGCGAUCAUGCCCAGUCAGAGUUAGAGGAGUUUUGCUGUACAGGGAGUGGAGAAAUGGAGUGGCAGCUGAAGAGGAGAGUGAGGCCAAUUUCUUUUUUAAGAUGAGAGAAAUCACAUGCUAAUGGAAAAGGGAAGGAGGGAGCUGCCGAUGCUAUCUGUGAAUAGGUAAGAGGAUGAGCUUCAGUGUUAAGAGGUGGGGCUGGGUUCCAACAGGAAGAGUAUGAAUAAUUCAUCUAAGUAAGAGGAGGGAAGGAACAGUUAUGAAGGUACAGAUGAAGGUGAUGAGUGGCCACUGGUGGAGUCAGACCACUGUGUAUAUUGUAAAGGAUAUCUUUAGAAGCAAUGACCCAGGAUAAAA